CACGCCCAGGACCACCUCAGCUCGGCUCCAUGCCCUGGCCCACCUCAGGCCCAUGCCCAGGCCUGCCUCAGCUCAGCCCCAUGUCCAGGCCCUCCUCAGCUCCACGCCCAGGCUCGCCUCAGCUCCACUCCUAGGCCUGCCUCAGCUCAGCUUCAGCUCCACGCCCAUGCUUGCCUCAGCUCAGCAUCAGCUGCACGCCUAGGCCCUCCUCAGCUCUGUGCUCUGCUACACUCCAGGCCCGCUUCAGCUCCGCUUCACGCCCAGGACCACCUCAGCUCGGCUCCAUGCCCAGGCCCACCUCAGGCCCAUGCCCAGGCCUGCCUCAGCUCAGCCCCAUGUCCAGGCUCUCCUCAGCUCCAAGGCCAGGCCCUCCUCAGCUCCACGCCCAGGCUCGCCUCAGCUCCACUCCUAGGCCCGCCUCAGCUCAGCUUCAGCUCCACGCCCAUGCCUGCCUCAGCUCAGCAUCAGCUGCACGCCUAGGCCUUCCUCAGCUCUGUGCUCUGCUACACACCAGGCCCGCUUCAGCUCCGCUUCACGCCCAGGACCACCUCAGCUCGGCUCCAUGCCCUGGCCCACCUCAGGCCCAUGCCCAGGCCUGCCUCAGCUCAGCCCCAUGUCCAGGCCCUCCUCAGCUCCACGCCCAGGCUCGCCUCAGCUUCACUCCUAGGCCCGCCUCAGCUCAGCUCAGCUUCAGCUCCACGCCCAUGCUUGCCUCAGCUCAGCAUCAGCUGCACGCCUAGGCCCUCCUCAGCUCUGUGCUCUGCUACACUCCAGGCCCGCUUCAGCUCCGCUUCACGCCCAGGACCACCUCAGCUCGGCUCCAUGCCCUGGCCCACCUCAGGCCCAUGCCCAGGCCUGCCUCAGCUCAGCCCCAUGUCCAGGCUCUCCUCAGCUCCACGCCCAGGCUUGCCUCAGCUCAGGGGCGUAGCAACCGGGGAGGACGGGGGGGAUCCGUCCCCCUCACUUUUAGAGACAGACCAUUUAGAAACAGGUGAUUAAUAAUUACAUGAACAUAUGAUCUCAUACAGCCGUCCCCCCCACUUUUAAAAUGUCCCCUAUGCCCCUGCCUCAGCUCCACACCCAUGCCCGCCUCAGCUUCCCUCCACACCUAGGCCCGCCUCAGCUUCGCUCCACACACAGGCCCGCUCCAGCUCCGCUCCAUGCCCAGGCCCACAGCAGUAGAAAAUAAUGUGAAACACUCUUAAGAUCACUUAAUGUGAAAACGUGCUUAAAGUACUAAGACCCAAAUUCAGCAUACACUAAAUUACUAUGUAUUCGCAAUGCAACUUCAUAAACAGAUAAGCCAACAAACCAUUGAUAAGACUAAUGCAAUGCCAUGUUAUGCAAUGCCUGUUUCAGUUUUAAAAUGGUCAUGUGUUCAGAAUAAAGGCUCUCAAAGGUGUGGGAGAGUUUUGGUUUAUGCUUCAGUAAAUCAAAAAUAAAUCAAAAAAUAAAUAUAGCCUAAUUAACAAAUUUUUAUGCAAAAUAAUUAUUUUUAUUUUUUAUUUCCAUUGUUAAAAAGGAAUCAUGGACACAAAUGAACAUUAAUUUCUGUGUUUUGCAUCAGACAUAAAUCAACUUAAUGUGGGUCUAAACAAAACACUGACAAUAGAUGGUCAGAACAGAAAGCCUGAUGAGUACAAUGAAACAAUCCCGAUCAGUGUGUUAACCUGACUUCAGAAGUCCCCACCGCGACCACCCCUCCCCCACUGGAUGAUGCAAUCGCGCGCGGCCGCGCGGCCGCCAUUUUAGUUUCUAAUUGAAGCGGUGCAGGUAGCGCAGAACACACUAACGCGAGCGCGACGCAACAGGACACAUCAUCAGAGAUUUCAUCGAGUGAGAAACGCAUGAUGGAGGGAAAAAGGUAAGACUUGUUAUAUAAAUAUCAUGUUAAAUUUAGAAUUCUGUUUAUAGACUGACCAUUUAACAGAUACUGUUAAGAUUGCUUUGGGUAAAUAGCAAGGCUAACGUUAGUUGUUCACUUUUAAGGUUAACUAAUGUUAGCAAGCAUAUUGAUUUGUGUCGUAAUUAACUUUCAGUACAUUAACUGAGAACUAUUUGAAGGCCUUAACCUAAAAGCACGUUUGUUGUAAACAUUUUUCAUACACUAUAAGGUAAUAAAUAAAACUAAUGUGCUUUAAAGAUUUUCCAGUGUCAUAUUCAUAAUUGAAAAGUUUAAACUUGGAGGUUAUGUUAGUAAUGCUGACUCCAAGUUCACGUCUGUGUUAGAAUUGGCGUGAUUAUUAACUGUUUAUUUCUUCAGUGGAAUUCGUGCUCCAAAAGACAGUAUAAACAUGUUUUGUUAACGUAAGAGUAAGUUAAUUAAUUUAAUACUAGCCGCUUCUAGUUGUAUAUCACACGUGGCCUAAUGCUGAGUUUAGUAUGUGUACAUUUAUUAAUAUUUUACUUUGCUUCCAUAUAGAUUAAACAAAGAGACAUUCAGCUAUACAGAAGGACAUGGAUAGUGAUGCAGACGCUGUAAUCCUAGAAUUACCCAGUUCUUCAUCAUCAUGAGCCUGUGAUGUCCCAGAGCAAAGGAGGACAGAGAGUGUAUUUGUGCCUCAAGAUACCCCAAAUAAAGAAAGUGGAAAGUCUGAAGAGGAGGUAAAGGCAGUGGAAAGAGAACUUUUGGACUGCAUCACUUCUGGCACGGUACCUGGUAAAAAGAAGUGUGAAGACUGCAUCAGGUCAGCGCCUCGAAUCCAUAAGCU